rnacentral:lncRNA from 1 species
GAGAACAAACUACCAAUUAACGAGCGAGGAAACAGGGCCAGAGAAUUGGAACAAAAUACAAGGCUGCCUCUGAAAGGAAUAUCUUUGUGCUGAUGUGUCCAUCAAGAGAACAUACACAGAAGUGACACUUGCCAGUAAUUUGCAAGCAGAUGGAACUUCAAUAUGGCAAUAGAGAAAGAAUCAAUUAGACCAGAGUCUCCUCAGGAAGACUUUCUAUAGAUAUCUGGUGAGCAUCUGCUAGAUGCCAGGGUUGGGGAGAGUCAAGUUGAAGCAAGCAUGAACCCUCAAGGACCUACCAUUUCAAGGCAAGAAAUAGAUACAAAUACAGCGUAAUUAUCUCUCCAAUUAAAGAGCAACCAAGGGACAACUGAACUGGAGGUUCUGCAGAAUUACAACUAAGCACGCAGCCGAGGAAUCUACUCAGCUUUGAUCUCUUAUCGCUCUGCACACACAGCCCUUUCUCUGUAAGGCUAGCUGCUCUCAGCAUCACUGUGUCUAAUCAAACGUGUCACACCUCCACUGAGAAAAUAUUUACUGGAUAGCUACUAGACAUAAGGAUGCAGAAAUGAAUUAGAAAAAUUCCUCGCCCUUGUUCAAAGCUAUGCUGGCUCUUAGAACAUCUGAGCCCCCACUGUUUCAUCUUUAGAGGAUCCCAGCUGCUGGGGUGUGAGGCCAGUGCUGGAGCCAGCAGUCUCUGACCCAGAAGGGACCUGAGGUGCUAAAGAAAAGGGUACAAGCUGGAAAAGGGGAAAAUGAAUCAUGCUACAGGCCAAGUGUCCAUCACUGAUUCCCAGAGAUGCCCUUUGUGUGGUAGGCACUUCCAUGUGGACUCGCUACAGAGGUCAUAAGACCCUAAUUCCAGAGGGCCCUACCCUAUAACCAGAAGGAAGAACUAUUGCACAGAGAAUCUAAGAAGAAUCUAGACAGACAGCCCUUGCUGGAUUUCUCCACUCUGUUAGCAUUCGAUCAUUUGCCUUUUGUCCAGUCAUAUUUCUGCAUGGCUGUCCAUACUUUGUUGAACCUAAGCACAAAAUGGAAAGUUUUCCCUGUAUCUUUGGGUCGUCAUUCUGAAGGCUCCCAUGUUAUGUAAAACUAUGAUCAAAUAAAUAUGCAUGCCUUUUCUCCUAUAA